rnacentral:miRNA from 1 species
GAGCCAAGAAUGACUUGUCGG